rnacentral:antisense_RNA from 1 species
CUUGACCGACCCGAGCCACAGCGGCUCCCCGCCCCGGUCCCGCCCGUAGGUCGCGACCAGCGCCCGCGCCUC